CGAACGGGGAGAUUCAUCGUCAGCGGACGCCGGCUUCGCGUCGGUCGGCGAUGUCCCGCGGGGGCCCUCGCGGCUCUCAGCGCGGGCACGCUGCCGUGCGCCGAUGUAUCCGGCUUCGCCGUCGUGCACUUCUCCCCUGGUAGAACGUCGCGACCCGCUGGGUGUCGGUCUACGGCCCGGGUGCGGUGUCUGACGCGCCGCCGGUAAAACGGCGCGCGUCAAACCCCCGGUCGCCCGGCCGGCUGCCCGGCGGUACGCGCAAGGUAUCAGGCCGCACGCCCCGCGCGCAUUGUUGUGUGUGGGGAAAAAGGUGCGUCGAGGCCGUCGCAAGCGCGCGCCACGGUACACGGAGGUACGGACCUAGCGCCGUCACCGGUCCUGGCCCGCUGUUGGUCGUACGGUUAACCUUCGACAGGCCUACGAACGUCACGGCGCGUCGCGCGCGGGGGUCUCCGAUUCCCGCGCGCUCGCGUCGGC
rnacentral:rRNA from 1 species